AACUUGUCCAAAAGUCUAAAUUGACAUUCCGACAGGUCGACGACGCGCUAAUUACGGUAGAGGCCGUUCUAGCUCUAUUUGCACUGAGUCGCGAGAGCUUGUUGUCGACACACUUCGAGACGUGAGAUCCUAGUGUUUGACACCACUACAGGUUCCAGUGCGAGCGUUGUGGCCGAGAAUCGUGGCAAGAGCCCCGCAGUCUAGCUAGCAGACACCAGUGUUUAGUGGUAUACCAUUUUGAGUUCAGGUGAGACAUUUUGAUGUACAGAGAUAUGUAAAUAAAUGUAUUAAAGAGCAUGUAAAUACUUAAAUGUUUCAGUUAUUCGGUUCAGUGUGAAAGUUUUAAAUUACAGUGAAUUUUCAGUA